CCAAUAGCGUAUAUUAAAGUUGUUGCAGUUAAAAAGCUCGUAGUUGAAUUUCGGGGUCAGCAAGUUGGUCGUGCCACUGGUAUGUACUGGCUUUGCUGAUUCCUCCUUCUUGUAGAACCGUAAUGCCAUUAAUUUGGUGUUGCGGGGAAACAGGACUGUUACUUUGAAAAAAUUAGAGUGUUUAAAGCAGGCUAACGCUUGAAUACAUUAGCAUGGAAUAAUGAAAUAGGACGAGCGAUCCUAUUUUGUUGGUUUCUAGGAUUGACGUAAUGAUUAAUAGGGAUAGUUGGGGGCAUUAGUAUUCAAUUGUCAGAGGUGAAAUUCUUGGAUUUAUUGAAGACUAACUACUGCGAAAGCAUUUGCCAAGGAUGUUUUCAUUAAUCAAGAACGAAAGUUAGGGGAUCGAAGACGAUCAGAUACCGUCGUAGUCUUAACCAUAAACUAUGCCGACUAGGGAUCGGAUGAUGUUAAUUUUAUAAUGACUCAUUCGGCGCCUUACG
rnacentral:rRNA from 1 species